rnacentral:piRNA from 1 species
UGUUUUCAUUGGUGGUGUUAAUGGG